rnacentral:lncRNA from 1 species
AUGGCUCCUCUUUUGUUGAGAAAUUUUGAUCAAGAAAUUGGCGGGGUCUGCAAAAGAUGGAAUAAAAAAUUUAGCUCAAUAUGGCUCUUCUUUGCGUUGAAAUCCAAUUGUCGCUGGAUUGGGAUACUUGAGACUUUACCCAUAAGGGAGUCCUUCCAGAAAUUCUCAAAGGCUCGAGUUGAACCCAAGCCUAAGAGGGGGUUUGGAAAUAGUUUUCAACCAGCAAUAGACGCGCCUCAGUUAGAACCUCACUAG